CCGUCUGUCGUUACUGCAGCUGAUUUCCUUGCUUCAGGGACGGACAUGCUCCUUCCGUGAUGCGGCUGUGGCAUUUUUGUUCCUACCCCUGCCAAAACGUAGCAGAGUUGUGCUCUCUGCAGUUAGGUGUUCCCCACGUGGAAACGCAGGGGAUCGAAUGGGAAGAUGGUCUCGGGAAGUCCAGAUAGACCUUUGGCCACCUGUCGGCAGCUCGGACCUUACAACCACCCUUACGCGUUCAGAGUACAGGACAGAGAAGCAGGAUGCUGGGGCUCAAAGCUCCUGCCUUUACUGAAAAUUUAGUAUGUGGCCUUCAGCACAUUGCUCAACACCCGUGGAUGUCCGAGGUGGGGAAACCCACAUGGUCUGCGGCGUGUUGGCCCCCUCUCCAGGACAGACAAUGUCUCCCCCGAUGUUAAUACAAUGCAGGGCUGAUCUUCACAACCACGACGUACUCUUAAGCCCACCUAUGGCACUACCAGGGAGCUCUGACUCGUGGCUCUCAGCAGCAGCCUCUGGACAUAGAGCAAGGCUGGGGCAGGGCAAAUGUCCCACUUGUUAAGGCUUGCAGACCCGCGGCAUGGCAGUGUGGGAGCCAAGCGAGCAGGACGCAAUGCCUCCAGCACUGCCAGCUUGUGUGGACAGCUUUAUGUGCCGUUCCUCUGCCUCCUGCUUCAUAGACGGGAUAAACGAUGUGUGAGAUGAGCCAAGAACACAUUUUAUAUGAACAUCAUGUACUGCAGGAAACGUGUCUCUGCCAUCUUCCAGCCUCGGUUUCUUUUACAAGAAAUUAGCCACUCAAGAAAAUUCCAGCUUCUCUCUUGCUUGGAUUUCCUAAUUGUGUCAAGAUCCCUAUGAAGAGCUCAUUAAUAGAUUAAAGGAGCACGAUGUCUGCAAUGAAUAUUCUGGGGGGAGACAGAUGACUUGAGAGAGAUGUGUGCUUUAACAAGGGUCCAGGCCAUCAGCAGUGACAGCCAACACUGCUGUAGCGGGGUGCUGGAGCUUCCCCAGCCGGGGAGCAGGGAUGCUGGGCUCAGGCUGUGCCCUCGGCCGGGACCCUGCCUGCUACACCAUUACCUUAAUAAACUCCUUAUUCGUGGAAAAGGACUUUCUAUG
rnacentral:lncRNA from 1 species